UUCCCUGGAGUUCGUGCUUGUGUGACAUUCCAUUGAAUGUCGAGGUUCAGAUUCUCUUCCCAGUAACCUUCAGUCGUCCAUCGGGUCUUCGAUCUCCUCAGGCUAACACCCUUGCCCUUCUGUUGACAUGCAGGUUCCCCCUAACCUCCCAGCUAUCACUUCAGGUCUUCUGUAUGGUUACCAAGCUUGGUGGUUGUUGUUUCCACUCGUAUUCCCAUCGAGGGCCACUCCCAACAAGCAGAGAUCCCACUGGCAGAGUGUUGUUGUCCUCGUCCAGACUUCAACGUUCCCAGUCCCCCUUCUUGGUGGUUGAUGGAUGAGGAAGGCUUCUCUGGAGGUGUUCCCAAUUUUACAACAAUUGUUUGUUCUUACGGCUAAGGGGAAGCAAGGAGCGAGGCUUGCCCUCGUGACAAGUGCAAAAUAAGAAAAAAGAUUACCACUGAAG